GUGGAUUCAAAACUUAUGUGUUGGAAAUCAAAGGACAACGUGUCUACAGUAAAUUAAAAUACGAGUCCGGUGUUCACCGGGUUCAACGUGUUCCUCAAACAGAAACGCAGGGCCGUGUGCAUACUUCUACUGCUACAGUCGCCAUCAUGCCAGAGGCAGAUGAAGUUGAGGUAGUGAUUGAUCCAAAAGACAUUGAACUAACUACUGCCAGAUCUGG
rnacentral:misc_RNA from 1 species